UAUGUACUAUUAACUCCAUUAAAAUACACUUAGAAUUACACUAAUUAUGUACUUCUAGGUAACUAAGUAUACUGGAUAACUAAACCAUUAGUUUACUUUAUACAGACUAUUAGUCUGUAUGUGUUCUGUAUGUGUAUAAUGUUCAGUAGUAAUGCAGGUAGGAAGACCCAGGACACGCUGGAGAGAACGCCUUGGGGUCCCACCGGAAGAGCUGGAGGAAGUGUCCAGGGAGAAGGAAGUCUGGAACUGUCUGCUCAGACUGCUGCCCCCGCGACCCAGCCCCAAAUAAGCGGAUGAAAAUGGAUGGAUUGAUGGAUAGUAAUGCAUUUAUAACACAUUAGAUAAUGUUUAUUUAAUAUAUGAAAUGCUUUCUCUUAUCUGAUGGGGUUUAACCUUUAGUGCUGUCUGGUGUUUUAUAGAUGGACUAAAGGAAGGAAAGAACCAAACCAAGUCAAUCUUUUUUUACACUUUUCGUCACAACACACACAACUAAAAACAUUAGUGACAUGGAGCUUUGAGAACCUUUCAAAUAAUGAACAACAUAUAUACAGUACAAUACACAAUAAUACAAACUAUCUGCAAACACGGUUACUAUGGUAUUUACAUUGCUUAGAGAACAUGAUCUUCAUGAAUCGCUUUGUUUGUCCCCACUGGUUCAUACUAAUGUUCACAUCACUAGAGAACAUGAUGCAGCAUUAUCUGAUAAACACCAACUAUAGUGUUUGCUACCACCUAAAAAGUGAUAUUUAUUACUUAAAGGUAAGAGGUUACAGUUAACCAAACCACAGAACAUUAACACCAUUAUAUAUACUAUCUUUUAAUUCAAAAUGAAACUUACUGAGUUGGAAACUUACUUCUGCUUUCCACUUUCGUUUAACAACAACAAAGUGCAUCAUGAUUGGUCAGGACAGGGCCUUAUAUAGAGCUGGUACUGUACGCAGGCAAAACAUAGCUUUGAAUGCCUUCAGACCCCUUGAAAACAAACCAAAAAAAGCAGGAAAAAAAAGAAAAAAAAAAAACCUGCCUACCCCCAGGUGGGGGUAGGCUACCCCCAUCUGAGGGUGGGCAGGUUGCCAAAUGUGACGGACAGAGACAGACAGCAAGAUUCAUACACGACCCCCGUGGAGCCCUUUUUAAUAACAGAUCUCUGCGUGAGACCAUUGAAAACAAAUGCUCGUCUGUGCUCAACACACGACCCGCUCUCGAAAAAGAUGCAUAUGAAGUUAUCUGUGAUACGAAUGACGAAACACAUGUAAUAUUGUUCAGAAUCAAUUUGUGGCAUCCACGGGUUGUUUGGAACUUUUUUUUUGUUAAUGAUGAUGCCAACAUCCACCGUUUAAGAUACAUCACUCCAUUGGAUGAUGACCAGCAGCCACGAAGGACCGUUUGGAUACAUGAACAAAAUGAGAUUGAAAGUUCUUACCCUGACAAGGCUUUUCAGUUAAAUUGGCAGAAAAUAAACCCAACCACAAAGAAUGAUAUACUUAAUAAAUUACAGGAUCUCAGCGAUGAGUUUAAAAACAGAACAAAUCAAUAUGGAUGGGUUUUAAAUAUUUUCAGUGAUCAUGUAGAAAAAAUAACAGUGGAUAAGCCAGAGUUUAAUAAUGAGUCAUCAUCAAAAUCAUUGAUGGGGAAUAUACAUGUACAUGUAGAGCAAAAAUUAAUUGAAAAAACACAUAAAUUCCUUAAGGAGAACCCUGAGAGGAAUAUUAUACAUUUCAUAAUGUAUACAAAUAAGUUUCCAUGUUUAAAAAGACGCACAAAAGACAAUACUAACCCUUGUUUUAUUCAAAUUAUAAAAUCUGCCUUUGAAUAUAACAGUGAUAGAGGAGCAGGAAUUGAUGUUUUCUUCACAAAUAGCUGGGGUCCGCUCCACCACACAAAUUUUAAUUUUUUGACAUAUUCCAAACUAAUAAAUACUGGCAAUGUUUUUCAUGAAUACCACCGUAAACAAUACAAUAAAAGAUUUAAGCUGGAUCAAAAGUGUUUCAAAGAUAACACUGAAAUACAAAAAGUACUGGCUCACACAGAUAAACCGCACAGAAUGCAAUUUAUGGAUGAACUGAAAAGAGUUAAGAAUAAACUAACAACUAAGGAACUCACCAUUAUAGAACAUAUAGACUAUUUAGAGGAAGUGGUUUAUAACAAUGAUGCCAAUACAUCAAAAAUUUACAGGGAUAAAAUUUAUGACAUGUUUUUAAAUAUGGAGCUGAAAUAUUUAGAGCAGGAAAUUUUUGUUGUUGUUGAUAUAACAUCAGAUUUCAACAGUAUAAUUGUUAAAUGUUUACUAGAAGACCUUCCAUCCAUUUUGGGGAACAAUAGGUAUUUUAGGCUUCAUCAUGUCCAGCAGGAUGAUCCAGCGAAACAAAUAAUUGAAAUGAUUAAAAAACAAAGAACUAACCAUUGAAUAACUUGAAUGCUCUGUGUUGUCAACGCUGUUGCCAGAAUAAAACAGAUGAUUCCAUCA
rnacentral:lncRNA from 1 species